rnacentral:sRNA from 1 species
AACGAACCCACCCAAGUUCCAACGUUGGCAA